rnacentral:rRNA from 1 species
UACGUAGGGCGCAAGCGUUGUCCGGAAUUAUUGGGCGUAAAGAGCUCGUAGGCGGUUUGUCGCGUCUGCUGUGAAAACCCAGGGCUUAACCCUGGGCCUGCAGUGGGUACGGGCAAACUAGAGUGCGGUAGGGGAGAUCGGAAUUCCUGGUGUAGCGGUGAAAUGCGCAGAGAUCCGGAAGAACACCGGUGGCGAAGGCGGCCUGCUGGGCAGUUUGGCUGACACUGAGGCGCGACAGCGUGGGGAGCAAACAGA